GGGCAAAGAGCAUCUGUUCCCUCCAUUCUCCUAGCUCCAUCGGCUGCCAACCUAAGGCCAUCGCCUGCCUCCAUCACCCCUUCGCCUGCCUGCCUACCACCCAAUCCCAAAUGGGUGCUGGAUCAGGUCCUCCUUCUCAUCACUUCUUAGGCAUGGAGAGAUGAAGGACAGAUGGAGUACCGCACAAGGAUACAAUGGAGGAAGCAGGCCAUGACUAAGACCCCAAGGAUGAAGAAUGGAGAGCCCUGACCGUCCUCCUGGCCUCCAGUCAUUUCCCCACUGAAGAUGGCCGUACCCUCUAGCCUGGGAGGACCAUGGCCCAACAAUGGCAGUGGGAGAGAAGAUGACUCUGUGGAGGACACUCUCCGUUAUCUGUGAUGACAUACACCAGCCCCCGAACAAUUUAACCUCAAGCUGCCCUCUGCAAGACUUCGGUAGCACUGGACUUCCCUCAUUCCUGGUAGGCAGAGGUUGUUAGCCAUCAGCCUGGAAGAUCUGAAGGAAAAUUUGGCUUUGGGUAAAGUCAAAGGGGAUGGCUCUCAGAGAUAAGGCCAGUUCAUGAGAAGUAAGCAGGGCUUUGCUACCUGUGCAGGGCAGAGCUGCCCUGGGCUGGGGGGAGUUCUGAUGUCAACAUCUCUGGAGGCAGAUGACAACUUCAGAAGAGGCAAAAUUUCCCCAGGAGAAAAGAAAACAGGAGGUCUUCAGUCAACAUGGAGUUUGAAGCCGCCCAUGGCUGAAGCUCAGAAUACUCUGGAGAGCUGAGAGUCCUUCUUCAGCGGCUGGGCCGUUCUGCAGCAGCUGCAGCCGCCUCUGGGCCUGGGCGUCCCGGUGGGCAGGCGUGCGUAGGUGUUGCAGCAAGGCUAGGCGGGAGGGCGUGUCCCAGGCGCACAACAGGCAGUGGUAAAGCCCGGGCUCCGGCCCUGCCUCUGCUCCCUCCAUUUCCAGCAGAAACUAGAAGCAUGGAAGAGGCCAGCUCAGAUGUAGAAGGCACACCUCCAGACCUCUGGGGGCUGUUCCUCCUCGCUUAGACUCUUUCAUGCCUGGGUGGCCUCCCUCCACCCUGCUAUGGCUUCCCAUCUGCUUCUCCUCUCCAUUUCCUUCUUUCUCCCAUCAGUCCUGGGUCCCCCAGUGUGUGGCUGGGAGUUGCUUCUGUCCUGGAUACCAUGAUGGCUGGACUGAGAUGGCCUCAUCCCUAUAGCAUGCUAGAACAGCUAAAUCAAGUCUGUUUCUCCUCCUCGGAGCCCACUGC
rnacentral:lncRNA from 1 species